GAUGAACGCUGGCGGCGUGCCUAAUACAUGCAAGUCGAACGCAGUGAGGACUGGUGAGUAACACGUGGGUCACCUCCCAUCAGAGGGGAUAACACUUGGAAACAGAUGCUAAAACCGAUAUUGAUGGAUGGCUCCGCGGUGCAUUAGCUAGUGGGUGGGGUAAAGGCUCACCAAGUGAACGAUGCAUAGCUGAUCUGAGAGUGUGAGCGGCCACACUGGGACUGAGACACGGACCAGACACGUACGGGAGGCAGAAGUAGUGAAUCUUCGGCAAUGGACGAAAGUCUGACCGGGCAACGCCGCGUGAGUGAAGAAGGUGUUCGGGUCGUAAGACUCUGUUGUUAGGGAAGCGGUAUCUAACCAAAAAGCCACGGCUAACUACGUGCCAGCAGCCGCGGUAAUUC
rnacentral:rRNA from 1 species